rnacentral:rRNA from 1 species
CUUUUAUGGAGAGUUUGAUCCUGGCUCAGGACGAACGCUGGCGGCGUGCCUAAUACAUGCAAGUCGAGCGGAGUUAUUCCUUCGGGGAUAGCUUAGCGGCGGACGGGUGAGUAACACGUAGGCAACCUGCCUGUAAGACCGGGAUAACAUUCGGAAACGAAUGCUAAUACCGGAUAUGCAAUU